rnacentral:rRNA from 1 species
CGUUGGCGGCGUGGAUUAGGUAUGCAAGUCGUACGCUCCGCAAGGGGCGUGGCGCAAGGGUGAGUAAGGCGACGGCAACCAACCCCGCGGCCGGGCAUAGCCCAGGGAAACCUGGGGUAAUUCCCGGCGCCGUCACGGGAGGGCAUCUUCCUGUGACGAAAGGUGUGACUCCGCCGCGGUGACGGGCCGUCGUGGUAUCAGGUUGUUGGCGGGGUAACGGCCCACCAAGCCUGGGACGCCUACCGGGCGUGCGAGCGUGGCCCGGCACACUGGGACUGAGACACUGCCCAGACUCCUGCGGAGAGGCUGCAGUCGAGAAUCUUCGGCAAUGGGCGCAAGCCUGACCGAGCGACGCCGCGUGGAGGACGAAGGCCUUCGGGUUGUAAACUCCUGUCGAGGGGGAGGAAGGCUCCGUGCAGAGCGGCGCUUGACCGAUCCCUGGAGGAAGCACGGGCUAAGUUCGUGCCAGCAGCCGCGGUAAGACGAACCGUGUGAACGUUAUUCGGAAUCACUGGGCUUAAAGCGCGUGUAGGCGGGCCGGCACGUCGAUGGCUGAAAGCCCCCGGCUCAACCGGGGAAGGGGCCUCGAUACGACCGGCCUGGAGGGGGGUAGGGGGAGCCGGAACUUCCGGUGGAGCGGUGAAUGCGUUUGAGAUCGGAAGGAAC